CCUACGGGAGGCAGCAGUGAGGAAUAUUGGUCAAUGGGCGCGAGCCUGAACCAGCCAAGUCGCGUGAGGGAAGACGGUCCUAUGGAUUGUAAACCUCUUUUGUCGGGGAGCAAAAGACGCCACGCGUGGCGUUCCGAGAGUACCCGAAGAAAAAGCAUCGGCUAACUCCGUGCCAGCAGCCGCGGUAAUACGGAGGAUGCGAGCGUUAUCCGGAUUUAGUGGGUUUAAAGGGUGCGCAGGCGGAAGAUCAAGUCAGCGGUAAAAUUGAGAGGCUCAACCUCUUCGAGCCGUUGAAACUGGUUUUCUUGAGUGAGUGAGAAGUAUGCGGAAUGCGUGGUGUAGCGGUGAAAUGCAUAGAUAUCACGCAGAACUACGAUUGCGAAGGCAGCAUACCGGCGCUCAACUGACGCUCAUGCACGAAAGUGUGGGUAUCGAACAGGAUUAGAUACCCGAGUAGUC
rnacentral:rRNA from 1 species